rnacentral:rRNA from 1 species
AAAUUGAAGAGUUUGAUCAUGGCUCAGAUUGAACGCUGGCGGCAGGCCUAACACAUGCAAGUCGAACGGUAACAGGAAACAGCUUGCUGUUUCGCUGACGAGUGGCGGACGGGUGAGUAAUGUCUGGGAAACUGCCUGAUGGAGGGGGAUAACUACUGGAAACGGUAGCUAAUACCGCAUAACGUCGCAAGACCAAAGAGGGGGACCUUCGGGCCUCUUGCCAUCGGAUGUGCCCAGAUGGGAUUAGCUAGUAGGUGGGGUAACGGCUCACCUAGGCGACGAUCCCUAGCUGGUCUGAGAGGAUGGCCAGCCACACUGGAACUGAGACACGGUCCAGACUCCUACGGGAGGCAGCAGUGGGGAAUAUUGCACAAUGGGCGCAAGCCUGAUGCAGCCAUGCCGCGUGUAUGAAGAAGGCCUUCG